rnacentral:rRNA from 1 species
UGCUUUAAUGUUUUAGUGUAAUGGAAACACAUUGAUCCAUUUCGAACUCAAUAAGUGAAACGUUAUAUAUCAUUGACAAUACUUAAAAAGAAAUUUUUCGGGAAGAUAAAUCAACAUUAAAGUU